rnacentral:rRNA from 1 species
UGGGGAAUAUUGGACAAUGGGCGAAAGCCUGAUCCAGCCAUGCCGCGUGUGUGAAGAAGGUCUUCGGAUUGUAAAGCACUUUAAGUUGGGAGGAAGGGCAGUAAGCGAAUACCUUGCUGUUUUGACGUUACCGACAGAAUAAGCACCGGCUAACUCUGUGCCAGCAGCCGCGGUAAUACAGAGGGUGCAAGCGUUAAUCGGAAUUACUGGGCGUAAAGCGCGCGUAGGUGGUUCGUUAAGUUGAAUGUGAAAGCCCCGGGCUCAACCUGGGAACUGCAUCCAAAACUGGCGAGCUAGAGUAGGGCAGAGGGUGGUGGAAUUUCCUGUGUAGCGGUGAAAUGCGUAGAUAUAGGAAGGAACGCCAGUGGCGAAGGCGACCACCUGGGCUCAUACUGACACUGAGGUGCGAAAGCGUGGGGAGCAAACAGG